rnacentral:rRNA from 1 species
GACGAACGCUGGCGGCGUGCUUAACACAUGCAAGUCGAACGAGACUUCGGUCUAGUGGCGAACGGGUGAGUAACACGUGGGCAACCUGCCCCGAGCUCUGGGAUAACUCCGGGAAACCGGGGCUAAUACCGGAUAUGACCUGGGAAGACAUCUUCUUUGGUGGAAAGUUUUUCGGCUCGGGAUGGGCCCGCGGCCUAUCAGCUUGUUGGUGGGGUAAUGGCCUACCAAGGCGACGACGGGUAGCCGGCCUGAGAGGGCGACCGGCCACACUGGGACUGAGACACGGCCCAGACUCCUACGGGAGGCAGCAGUGGGGAAUAUUGCGCAAUGGGCGAAAGCCUGACGCAGCGACGCCGCGUGAGGGAUGAAGGCCUUCGGGUUGUAAACCUCUUUCAGCAGGGACGAAGCGAAAGUGACGGUACCUGCAGAAGAAGCACCGGCCAACUACGUGCCAGCCGCCGCCGUAACAC